rfam:Brachypodium distachyon strain Bd21 chromosome 1, whole genome shotgun sequence.
CAUCUACUCCCUCCGUUCAACAAAAGAUGUCUCAAGUUUGUCAAAAUUUGGAUGUAUCUAGAUGUGAUUUAGUGUAUAGAUGCAUUCAAAUUUAGUCAAAGUUGAGACAUCCUUUGCUGGAUGGAGGGAGUAUAUG